rnacentral:RNase_P_RNA from 1 species
CCGGAAGGCGGGUCUGUCGCUUCCGAACGCAUGAGGCGGAAGAGGAAAGUCCGGGCAACACAGAGCACCGCACUCCCUGCGGGGAGCUAUCGGCAACGGUAGAGUAAUGUGACAGAAAACAACCGCCCCGGCCUCCCCCGCGGAGGCCGGAGCAAGGGUGAAAAGGCGGGGUAAGAGCCCACCGGGCGCCACAGCGAUAUGGCGUGCCGCACAUCUUGCGGGUUGCAAGGUCAAGUACACCGGCAGGGGGCCUUCGGGCCCCGACGGGCUGCUCGCCCGGUGUCGGGGGGUAGACUGCUCAGAUAAAUGACAGACGGGCCGGCACGGCUCCGCUUGCGGAAAGUGUGCCGCCCACAUAACCCGGCUUAUACGCCAUCCGGCAAA